CUUGAGGCUGCUUGGUCGCGGCUACCGCCCUCCACCCUCAACCCGCACCCAUUCCCCAGUUCCUCUGGCCAAAGGAGUGUGUGUUUUUCAGAAUUUCAGAGCUAGAACGCACAUCAGGCAGCUAAGACUGAGAAGACUGGUGCCCACCGCCGGCCGAGGGCCGUUCCAACCUGCUGAUUUGAGGAGGAGUCUGGGAUCCUUCACCUUUCUCGCUGGAUCGAUUGUACUUGGAGCUCUAGCGACAGAAGUAGCAGCUCUGCCGCCUGGUGGACAUAUGAGGCAGAGCACCCUUCUUCAAUUCCAGAAGCAGCAUCACGGCUAGGGGAAGAGAUUUUCUUUGUUCACUGAUGGAAAUAGCAAAACUUGGCAGAAAAAAUAAUCCCAGUUUUUUCUCUCUUCAGUUUAUUUCUGAGGAUCUGAGUGAUUUGGAUGCAGAAAACACUUCUGUUGUUUCUCUCGCCCGGACUGCUUUUUUUCCUUCUGCCAAGUUUUGUUAUCUCCAUCAGAGUGAACAAGGUUUCCUUGCCCCUUCUCUCAAACCCUAUUUCAAAUUCCAUCUCCUUCAUAACAACUUUUCUGACUCCUCUCCUGUAUAUCUUAUGAAAUACAGCUGUGCACAGACCCAGCACACAGAGCACAGCUUACAUGCUGUCUUUUUUU